rnacentral:rRNA from 1 species
UACGGGGGGAGCAAGCGUUGUUCGGAUUUACUGGGCGUAAAGGGCGCGUAGGCGGCCACCGCAAGUCAAUUGUGAAAUCUCCGGGCUUAACUCGGAAAGGUCAACUGAUACUGCGGGGCUAGAGUGCGGAAGGGGCAACUGGAAUUCUCGGUGUAGCGGUGAAAUGCGCAGAUAUCGGGAGGAACACCGGUGGCGAAGGCGGUUCUCUGGGCCUUACCUGACGCUGAGGAGCGAAAGCGUGGGGAGCGAACAGG